rnacentral:rRNA from 1 species
AGUGAACGCUGGCGGUAGGCCUAACACAUGCAAGUCGAACGGCAGCACAGUAAGAGCUUGCUCUUACGGGUGGCGAGUGGCGGACGGGUGAGGAAUACAUCGGAAUCUACUUUUUCGUGGGGGAUAACGUAGGGAAACUAACGCUAAUACCGCAUACGACCUCCGGGUGAAAGCAGGGGAUCUUCGGACCCUGCGCGAUUGAAUGAGCCGAUGUCGGAUUAGCUAGUUGGCGGGGUAAAGGCCCACCAAGGCGACGAUCCGUAGCUGGUCUGAGAGGAUGAUCAGCCACACUGGAACUGAGACACGGUCCAGACUCCUACGGGAGGCAGCAGUGGGGAAUAUUGGACAAUGGGCGCAAGCCUGAUCCAGCCAUACCGCGUGGGUGAAGAAGGCCUUCGGGUUGUAAAGCCCUUUUGUUGGGAAAGAAAAGCAGCAGGUUAAUACCCCGCUGUUCUGACGGUACCCAAAGAAUAAGCACCGGCUAACUUCGUG